rnacentral:rRNA from 1 species
GAUGAACGCUGGCGGCGUGCCUAAUACAUGCAAGUCGAGCGAACAGACGAGGAGCUUGCUCCUCUGACGUUAGCGGCGGACGGGUGAGUAACACGUGGAUAACCUACCUAUAAGACUGGGAUAACUUCGGGAAACCGGAGCUAAUACCGGAUAACAUGUUGAACCGCAUGGUUUAACAGUGAAAUACGGUCUUGCUGUCACUUAUAGAUGGAUCCGCGCCGCAUUAGCUAGUUGGUAAGGUAACGGCUUACCAAGGCAACGAUGCGUAGCCGAACUGAGAGGGUGAUCGGCCACCCUGGAACUGAGACACGGUCCAGACUCCUACGGGAGGCAGCAGUAGGGAAUCGUCCGCAAAGGGCGAAAGCCUGAGGGAGCAACGCCGCGUGAGUGAAGAAGGUCUUCGGAUCGUAAAACUCUGUUAUUAGGGAAGAACAAAUGUGUAAGUAACUAUGCACGUCUUGACGGUAACUAAUCAGAAAGCCACGGCUAACUACGUG